CUCUUGUUGAAACACAGGUACCACAUGGUGCUACCAGAGUGUUGAUCGACAGUGUCGUCAGUCCACGCAACGGACCUCCGUCGUUGCUCGUGCAAGACGAUGGUGGAGGCAUGAAUCCUAUUUCCCUAUGGAAGUGUAUGACCUCUGCAUGUCCAAAUAGGAAGCCACCUGAUUCAAUUGGGCAGAAUGGGACAGGAUUCAAGGCUGCCAUAAGCUGCCUUGGCGCGGGUGCAAUCGUUUUCACCCGUCACGUGCAUAACAG